rnacentral:rRNA from 1 species
UAAUUGAAGAGUUUGAUCAUGGCUCAGAUUGAACGCUGGCGGCAGGCCUAACACAUGCAAGUCGAGCGGCAGCACAGAGGAACUUGUUCCUUGGGUGGCGAGCGGCGGACGGGUGAGUAAUGCCUGGGAAAUUGCCCGGUAGAGGGGAAUAACCAUUGGAAACGAUGGCUAAUACCGCAUAACCUCG